UGCAAAUGACCAAAUGUUUACAGCCCCUAGACAAAACCAAAAAUAAAGGGAUGCAGAGCUAUCACAUAAAAGGGUAGCAAGUCAGAAUUUGGAGGGCUCUAUGACAUUAGAGCAAAUUCUGCUGCAGCAUGUAUCUUUCCUAAUUCAACUGCAAUCAACCCACAACCAGAGGUAGAUACAGAUUGUGGUCCAUAACUUACAGCAAAAUGCCCCUUUUGUACAUUAAAUUCUAAAUUAUCCUAAUACAUACUAUAAAGUACAUUAAAGUAAAAUGGUGACAGACUGAAUAGUGAAUGCAUCCUUCAGGCAUGAGAGAAAGAAAUGUCUCAGGGAAAAGUAUCUGAAUGGAUUUUGGAGGGAGCAGUAAAACUGACAGCUGAUAAACCACAUAUAUUACCACAGUGGGAAAAGAAAGGAGGAAGAACAAUAUUCAACUGCAGCUUUAAUAUUGAAAGUCAUGUGAACUGAAAAUAUUUCAUGGUUAAUGAAAUGUGUAGUCAAGAAUUAAAUCUUUAAUAGUGGAAUAAGGAAAAGAAAUAAUGCGUAGCAAACUGUGUAUUUCCAACGUGGAAUUUAUGAAAGUUUGGAGACCUGAUAGUAACAUUCAACUUGAGAACACUAGGUGAUCAAAGGUGGAUCCAAACAAAUGCAUUAGCCAAGUUCAGUGUCUUACUCUUCCCGUGCUGUUGAUGACAGACCAUAAAGCCAUCUCAGAAGUAUGGCACAGCUCACAGUAGCCUGAUUUGAAACCCUAAGCUUCAUAAGGGCUAAGACUGAAUCAAUAAAUCGAUCACCCCCUUCUGGUUUCUUUGUACACUCACAUACCUUGCUACAAAUAAAGAUCUAGUAUGGGAGAAAA